CUUCAAGAUCUGUUAUACCUGACUAAGAGAUGUUUGUGUGUUCUCAUAGCCUAUUCAUCAACCAUGUAAGUUUUGAGUGGAUCUUGUGUAGUGUACGUCGUAUUCUUAGUGAGAAUCGAGAUUGAAAAAAAAAAAGAAAUCACCAUCAAGGAGGGCUUUUUUCCAUUGUAGUAAAGGAAGAGAGUCAAAGCAACAAUUAAAGGAGCAAGCCGAUAAGCAGCGUUACACCAGUUUCUACCUUAGCUCCUGAUUGGCUUCGACAGCUUCUCGUACUGACUGGCUGUAACCAGGUCACCUAAUUGCUCUAUGUCAUGAUGUUCAUCACAGCAACAGAAAGCAAGGACGAGCUGGAUAUCAGUCCUGGGAGGCAGAAUACAUAGGCUUUGGAGUAAUGUCUUUACCAGCCAGAAUGGGAAUGAGGGUUGAAGUCCACAAACCUUGCCAAACUUUCCAGUGAAAGGCAUAUAAUAGCAGGAUGGUUGUCUCUUGAAGUCUGGUCUGUGAGGUCUUCUACCUUCGCUGCUCAAGAGGUUGAUGUAGCCAUUGCUAGUUCAAUGUCUGCCCUGCUCGAGUGAAUUUCAAGGCCA